CGUUUUCUACACAUGGUAGUACCGAUGUCGUCGUACCCACGGGCUUCAACAAACGAAUGCCCUCGAUGUCAU
rnacentral:tRNA from 1 species